GAUGAACGCUGGCGGCGUGCCUAAUACAUGCAAGUCGAGCGAACAGACGAGGAGCUUGCUCCUCUGACGUUAGCGGCGGACGGGUGAGUAACACGUGGAUAACCUACCUAUAAGACUGGGAUAACUUCGGGAAACCGGAGCUAAUACCGGAUAAUAUAUUGAACCGCAUGGUUCAAUAGUGAAAGACGGUUUUGCUGUCACUUAUAGAUGGAUCCGCGCCGCAUUAGCUAGUUGGUAAGGUAACGGCUUACCAAGGCGACGAUGCGUAGCCGACCUGAGAGGGUGAUCGGCCAAACUGGAACUGAGACACGGUCCAGACUCCUACGGGAGGCAGCAGUAGGGAAUCUUCCGCAAUGGGCGAAAGCCUGACGGAGCAACGCCGCGUGAGUGAAGAAGGUCUUCGGAUCGUAAAACUCUGUUAUUAGGGAAGAACAAAUGUGUAAGUAACUAUGCACGUCUUGACGGUACCUAAUCAGAAAGCCACGGCUAACUACGUG
rnacentral:rRNA from 1 species